GGCGGGCUAGCGUAAUGGUUAACGCGUCAGUUUCCGGUUCGGAUCGGUUCGGAAAUGAGCUGAAGACUCCGGGUUCGAGUCCCGGGCCUGUCG
rfam:Termitomyces sp. J132 unplaced genomic scaffold scaffold29, whole genome shotgun sequence.